UACAGAGGUCCCAAGCGUUGUUCGGAUUCACUGGGCGUAAAGGGUGCGUAGGUGGUUUUUUAAGUCCGUUGUGAAAUCCCUGGGCUCAACCUGGGAAUGGCAGUGGAUACUGGAAAGCUAGAGUGCGGUAGAGGGUAGUGGAAUUCCCGGUGUAGCAGUGAAAUGCGUAGAGAUCGGGAGGAACACCAGUGGCGAAGGCGGCUACCUGGACCAGCACUGACACUGAGGCACGAAAGCGUGGGGAGCAAACAGG
rnacentral:rRNA from 1 species